rnacentral:tRNA from 1 species
ACCGUGGUGGUUCAGUGGUAGAAUUCUCGCCUUCUAUGUGGGGGACCUGGGUUCGAUUCCCGGCCAAUGCA